UGCUCCAGCAGUCGUCAUCGUGAGGAUUAGCCACCGUCUAUUUGGCGCGGGACCUACCUGCGAUGGUCCCAUCUAUUGUGAGGUUGCAGCAAAAACAAGAUGCACAUGUUCAUUUUUUGUAUGCUUUUCAGUACAUCUACUUCCUGACGGUCUGAAUAUGUUGCCCCCACCAUGCCGAUUUACUACUGUGACCUCGUUGAUUCCCC